rnacentral:rRNA from 1 species
UACGUAGGUGGCGAGCGUUGUCCGGAUUUACUGGGCGUAAAGGGAGCGUAGGCGGACUUUUAAGUGAGAUGUGAAAUACCCGGGCUCAACUUGGGUGCUACAUUUCAAACUGGAAGUCUAGAGUGCAGGAGAGGAGAAUGGAAUUCCUAGUGUAGCGGUGAAAUGCGUAGAGAUUAGGAAGAACACCAGUGGCGAAGGCGAUUCUCUGGACUGUAACUGACGCUGAGGCUCGAAAGCGUGGGGAGCAAACAGGAUUAGAUACCCUGGUA